rnacentral:rRNA from 1 species
CAGCAGCCGCGGUAACACGAAGGGGGCUAGCGUUGUUCGGAAUUACUGGGCGUAAAGGGCGCGUAGGCGGCCGAUCAAGUCAGGCGUGAAAGCCCCGGGCUUAACCUGGGAACUGCGUUUGGGACUGGUUGGCUUGAGUUCGGAAGAGGAGAGUGGAAUUCCCAGUGUAGAGGUGAAAUUCGUAGAUAUUGGGAAGAACACCGGUGGCGAAGGCGGCUCUCUGGACCGAUACUGACGCUGAGGCGCGAAAGCGUGGGGAGCAAACAGGAUUAGAUACCCGCGUAGUCCCUGUCUCUUAUAC